UCCGUAGGGUGAACCUGCGGAAGGAUCAUUGUNGA
rnacentral:rRNA from 1 species